GUGACUAAAUGUAAUUGGGAAUGGAAUUCAUUGCAGGUACAAGGCAAAAGAGCAUUCCAAUUGGCACAAAGGCCACCAUUAUGAAUGCAAAGUAUGCGGCGCCAAAUUCUCAAAAUCAACAAGCCAUUUGACCCACGUGAGGCUGCAGCAUCCGUCGGAGCACGUCUGCGAUAUAUGCGGAGAGUCAUUCAUUGGGGAGAAUGGGCUAAGGAUGCACCACAAGAAAUCCCAUAGAGAUGUCAAGUGUUUAACGGACGAGGCAGCUGUCUGCGCGCUGUGCGGGGUACAAUUCGUUUCAGUGGAAGCUUUGAAUCGGCACACGGACGUCACUGAGAACGGAAUAUGCGAUCCUAAUUUGAUGUCA
rnacentral:lncRNA from 1 species